CUGCAGCUUAAAGGGCAGAAAUUAAUCGUGUCUCUAUCCAGGAUUCUGGAGGCUGACACACCAGGGCUCUCCUAAUAAGGACACUAGUCAUACGGGGCCAGGACCGGAGAAGGGGCCAGCAGGAGCCCGCGUGCUGGCUCGGCGGGGUUGGCCGAUGGCCUCCAGCAGGGCCCCAAAGGAGACGUCCUGGGGGUCCCCGUGGAAGGGCCGGCCUUCUCGGGAAGAGCCUCGUGCUCCCAGACACCCCCGGCCGCUCUGCCUGCCGUCCCAGCGAGGUGGCCUCCAAAGAACACGGUGACGCCCUCGGCACUCAGGAGAGGAGGAGGACGCUCCAGGACAGCCGUGCCCUCAGUCCCCCGGUUACAUCGGAGCCUUCCGGGAGGCAGAUGAGGGCCGGGCGCGCAGAGGGGCUCCCGAUGUCCUCUGCUGCCUGGAGAGGGUGGGUGAACAGUCGAGUUCCCGGCUCCGACGGGGAAAGGGUGAGCAGCCGAGGGACCGGGACGGAGACCCCGCUCUGCAGACACGUGAGCCGGCCACGCAUCCAACGGGAGCCAGUGUGGACAAGGGCACCUCCCGGGUGCCACGCACGGUCCCGGCCAGGUUCACGGUUGAACAAAACAGAGAGCUCUGCCCUGGAGGAGCUCACCGGUCUCCCGGGGAGCCAGAGACCUCGGGGCGUGUCGCCGGCCCAGGCCAAAGGUCCUUCCCUGGGAGCCGCCCACCUGGGGUUCCGUGGCAGCCGCUGCAGGAAGCCGAAGUGUGGGCAGCCAGGUGGCCGUCCCGCAGGGGAGGCCGGCCUCCACCCCCGGGUGCCUGGGGCCCCACACAGACCCACGGUCCCCUCCCGCGGCUUACGCCUCGCGUGGCAGACAGCACACUUCGCGCCCGUCACGUGGCCGUGUCUGGGGGUCCUCACAUUGCUUUCUGGGAAGAUCAGACAGACACAGACGGCCCUUGAAGGCCGGCGGAUCCUUGAGCGACCAGCUGGUAAGGAGAGGGCGGGAGAGGACAGGAGUGGAGAAGGGCCCCGGGUGGCCCGGCAGCUCCCCCCACCCCAGUGUACCUGCAGCAGGAGCCCCGGUCACAGAAAACCAGGCGUGUUUCCCUGCCUGACUGCGGUCCCCAGGGGGCCCCGUCUGCUCAGCCACUGGAGCCCUCGUCCUCGGCCAGGGCCUUCAGAACUUACUUUACACCUAACGGCCCCCCCUUACACCUGCUUGCCAAUCCCAGGGACGUGAUCUUAGGGACGCCGGUCCGUCUGAGCGGUGUCCCCGGGAGGCCGCGAGCCUCAGCACGUCCCCGGGGCCUCGGGGCCGCGUCUCUGUCCACCUCUGCCGAGCGACCUCUGCCGAGCGACCUCCGGGUUUGUGACCAGCGGCCCCAUUUGCCCUGCACACACAUGGGCUCUGGUGCAGAAUAAAGCUAAGGAGGCCCAGCCCUGUGCCCCUCUGUUCGCUGGCGGUGGUGAGUUUGCUGGGGUGCCUGACCGCCCGACUGCUCCAGGGUCGAUGGGGACGCUGCAGGCCCAGGCUUGUGGGGGUACGCGGUCACAUCAGUGCCCGGUGAGGAAGGAGCUCCACCCUGAUGUUUGCCUGGGCUGCCCUUAAGAGUGGGGACACUGUGGUCCCAGAGCAGGCCCAACCCCUAAGAGCGGGGACACUGGUCGCAGAGCAGGCCCAACCCCCAAGAGCGGGGACACCGUGGUCCCAGAGGAGGCCCAACCCCCAAGAGCGGGGACACCGUGGUCCCAGAGCAGGCCCAACCCCCAAGAGCAGGGACACCGUGGUCCCAGGCAAGGCCCAAGCAGCAAAGGAAACCUCUGGUUCACUCGAAGGUGAGAGACAGGUGUGGGGUCUUCACGAUGUGUGCUGUCAUCCUGGGCUGUCCCCUUGCCCUCACACUGAGGCCCCACCUGUGGGCACUCGCCCAGUCGUGAGUCUGUGUCCACAGGACUCUGGCGUGGCCCCCGGCCACUCCCUGGUGGCCUGGUCAGAGCACAGGGCAGACGGGGGCCGCCUGAGGCAGGCGCAUCCCGUGUGGGCUUUGUGCCCACGAUUUGCGCAGUGUUCCCACGGAGCUCCCUGCCCAGUGGGACGACCGUCAUGGGUCUCGGAGAGGAAGCUCAGCCCCAGCGGGGUUAAAUGACUUGCCCCAGGGACACAGCCCAGAAGUGGCAGAACUGGGACCCAGUCCAGGGCUGUCCUCCCCCCGCACCUGGGUACACGCACCCCGACCUCUCCACUGCUCUGACAGUGCACGAGAGGCUGGGUAGGCGGCCACCGAGGCGGCCUCCGAGGAAAACGGGCUCCCGGGGCUCCAGCCCCCUUCCCUGUAAGAGCGGGGACCAGGCCUGCACGCUGAGCCCCCGGGGCCGCUGUGCGGGCAGAGACGCAGGGAGUGCGAGUUCGCAAACCAGUGAGGUGUGGGUCAUUACCCACCUGCCCGCUCUCAGGUGAUUACCCGCGGGACCCAGGCCUCUUCCGGACGGGCAGGUCCACGAUCAUCGCUGUGGCAGGUCCUCUGUGCCCCGAAAACCGUAGCCAAGGCCUCCAGCCAGAAGGAAUCAUGCCGGAUGCCAACCAUGAACACAAAAUGCUUUCGGAUCGUCUAACACGCAAGGGAAUUCGGUGUGGCCCCCCGGCCACCCAACAGCUUCGUGGCUGGGUGCUGUUUUCCCCACGACGCCUUCCAGCUUUCGGUCCCUGUGAGCUGUGAGGCCAGCAGCCACGGAGCGGGCAAGACCCAGGAGGAAGGAGACACGGGCUGCAGGGAGCCUCCUCUUCCGGCCUGCAGGUCAUUGGGAACACGUCGCCCGGGGGUUCGGGACCACCACGCACCGAGGCCCCACGGCAGCCAGACCUGCCGCCCCGCCCCGACUACCGUUGUUACGUCUCACGGGCCAUCGCACGGGAGACACGUGGCACUGAAGCUGUUACCAAAUAUUCGACAGCUAAAUUUGCACUGGAGUGAUCUGCCUGCUUUUCUGUAAACACGUCACAGGGGAAGAGGAGUGAUUCCCGGCCCCCUGUGCCGCAGGCAGACUCAGCGGCCUCGUGGGGCCCCGUGGCGCCCCACGCGUCAGGGGGAAGCCCCAAAUCAGUUAGAGCUUAGUGACGGGAAGAGGUCGUCCCUUCCCACCCACAUCCACAGGCCCAGGCGUGUCCAGGAGAGAGUCCCCUCCUCCGCCGUGCCCCCUCCAGGCCCCUGUCUUUCCACGUGCCCACUGAGGUCCUGGACCAGCUCCUUGGAAGUACCUGCUCCGAGUGGCCCUCUGGACUCGCCCUUGGCCUCCAGCCAGCUGGGCCCGUGCUGGCCCGACACUCCCAUGGUCCUCCUGUCCGCACCUCUGCUCGCACCCAGCAGACCCCGCCUGCCCCAGGCAGUCCCCUCCAGCUGCUCUGCACCCCCCCCGCCCCCCUGUAACUCAUCCCACUCCUGAG